CGGGGCGUGGCGCAGUUGGUAGCGUGCUUGUUUUGGGAACAAGAAGUCGCAGGUUCGAGUCCUGUCGCCCCGA
rnacentral:tRNA from 1 species